rnacentral:rRNA from 1 species
AGAGUUUGAUCCUGGCUCAGAACGAACGCUGGCGGCGCGUUUUAAGCAUGCAAGUCGAGCGGCAAGGGUCUUCGGGCCCCUAGAGCGGCGGACGGGUGAGUAACACGUGGACAAUCUGCCCCCCGGCCGGGGAUAGCCCAGGGAAACCUGGAUUAAUACCGGAUGAGACGGGACCCGCGGAGGCGGGAUCCGGGAAAGGCGCUGCGGCGCCGCCGGGGGAUGAGUCUGCGUCCCAUUAGCUUGACGGCGGGGUAACGGCCCACCGUGGCGACGAUGGGUAGCCGGCCUGAGAGGGUGUACGGCCACAUUGGAACUGAGACACGGUCCAGACUCCUACGGGAGGCAGCAGCUAAGAAUCUUCCGCAAUGGGCGAAAGCCUGACGGAGCGACGCCGCGUGAACGAAGAAGGCCGUGAGGUUGUAAAGUUCUUUUCGGGAGGGGGAACGACCGUGGCAGGGAAUGGCCGCGGGAUGACGUGAAUCCCGGAAUAAGCCCCGGCUAACUACGUGCCAGCAGCCGCGGUAACACGUAGGGGGCGAGCGUUGUUCGGAAUCAUUGGGCGUAAAGGGCGUGCAGGCGGUCCUGCAAGUCCGGCGUGAAAGACCCCGGCCCAACCGGGGGGGCGCGCUGGAAACUGCAGGGCUUGAGUACAGGAGGGGAUGCCGGAAUUCCAGGUGUAGGGGUGAAAUCUGUAGAUAUCUGGAGGAACACCAAUGGCGAAGGCAGGCAUCUGGCCAUGUACUGACGCUGAGACGCGAAGGUGCGGGGAGCAAACAGGUUUAGAUACCCUGGUAGUCCGCACAGUAAACGAUGUGCACCAGGUGGCGGGGGGUCGACCCCCGGUACCGUAGCCAACGCAUUAAGUGCACCGCCUGGGGAGUAUGCUCGCAAGGGUGAAACUCAAAUGAAUUGACGG